AGCAGCCGCGGUAAUUCCAGCUCCAAUAGCGUAUAUUUAAGUUGUUGCAGUUAAAAGCUCGUAGUUGAAUUUCGGGAUCAAUAUGUUGGUCGUGCCUUUGGUACGUACUAGCUUAUUGAUUUCUCCCUUCUGACGAACCAUGAUGUCAUUAAUUUGGUGUCAUGGGAAAUCAGGACUGUUACUUUGAAAAAGUUAGAGUGUUUAAAGCAGGCUUACGCUUGAAUACAUUAGCAUGGAAUAAUGAAAUAGGACGUUCGAUCCUAUUUUGUUGGUUUCUAGGAUUGACGUAAUGAUUAAUAGGGAUAGUUGGGGGCAUUAGUAUUCAAUUGUCAGAGGUGAAAUUCUUGGAUUUAUUGAAGACUAACUACUGCGAAAGCAUUUGCCAAGGAUGUUUUCAUUAAUCAAGAACGAAAGUUAGGGGAUCGAAGACGAUCAGAUACCGUCGUAGUCUUAACCAUAAACUAUGCCGACUAGGGAUCGGAUGAUGUUAAUUUUUUAAUGACUCGUUUGGCACCUUACGGGAAACCAAAGUGUUU
rnacentral:rRNA from 1 species